GGCUGGUUGGCUCAAUGGGUAGAGCAUGUGACUCUUGAUCCUGAGGGUUGUGAGUUCAAGCCCCACAUUGGGCA
rnacentral:tRNA from 1 species